rnacentral:rRNA from 1 species
AUUGAACGCUGGCGGAAUGCUUACACAUGCAAGUCGAACGGCAGCACGGGGCAACCUGGUGGCGAGUGGCGAACGGGUGAGUAAUAUAUCGGAACGUGCCCAAUCGUGGGGGAUAACGUAGCGAAAGUUACGCUAAUACCGCAUACGAUCUACGGAUGAAAGCGGGGGAUCGCAAGACCUCGCGCGAAUGGAGCGGCCGAUAUCAGAUUAGGUAGUUGGUGGGGUAAAGGCUCACCAAGCCAACGAUCUGUAGCUGGUCUGAGAGGACGACCAGCCACACUGGAACUGAGACACGGUCCAGACUCCUACGGGAGGCAGCAGUGGGGAAUUUUGGACAAUGGGCGCAAGCCUAAUCCAGCCAUUCCGCGUGCAGGAUGAAGGCCUUCGGGUUGUAAACUGCUUUUGUACGGAACGAAACGGUCUGCCCUAAUACGGCGGGCUAAUGACGGUACCGUAAGAAUAAGCACCGGCUAACUACGUG